UGACAGAUUUCACGAAUGCGCAGAGAAAUCUAAAGGCUCCCACCUGUCGCAGCCCGUCAACGGUGCUGGUUCGGUUGGGGAGGGAUGAGAGAGGGAGAGUGAUAGACUGUGCGAAAGAGGAGAGCAGCGCGCGUUCAGGCGGGACAGCAGGGCGCGCAGGACAUCAGCACACCGGCCGGGUCAAGGAGCUGCAAGGAUGGAGAUCCGACCGGACAGGUUCAAGGCGGUGGCGGGGAAAACCUUGGGGAAAAUUCACAGGCUCAUUGAGAAACGACAGGCCAAUGGAGAAACCAUCGAGUUAUCAGCUGAAGGCCGCCCGGAGCUGGUGGAGGAGAAGGAGCUGCCCGUGGUGGACUGCACCUGCUUCGGCCUCCCCAGGCGGUACAUCAUCGCCAUCCUGUGCGGUCUGGGCUUCUGCAUCUCCUUUGGUAUUCGAUGCAACCUGGGUGUUGCUAUCGUUAGCAUGGUCAAUGACCAUACGGUCUACAAAGGCAACAAGGAGGUGCUUGUGGCUGCACAGUUCACCUGGGACCCAGAGACGGUGGGGAUGAUCCACGGCUCCUUUUUCUGGGGCUACAUAGUCACACAGAUCCCCGGUGGCUUUAUAUGUCAAAAAUUUGCAGCCAACAGAGUGUUUGGCUUCGCCAUCGUGGCCACGUCCGUCCUCAACAUGCUGAUCCCGUCUGCAGCUCGCUGCCACUACAGCUGCGUCAUUCUUGUGAGGAUAUGUCAAGGCCUUGUUGAGGGUGUAUCGUACCCAGCCUGCCACGGGAUCUGGGCCAAGUGGGCGCCUCCUCUUGAGAGAAGUCGAUUAGCCACAACAGCCUUUUGUGGAUCCUAUGCUGGGGCAGUGGUGGCCAUGCCUUUAGCUGGGAUACUGGUGCAAUACAUCGGGUGGCCUUCUGUAUUUUAUGUCUAUGGCAGUUUUGGGAUAUUCUGGUAUUUAUUCUGGAUUCUUGUGUCAUAUGAGAGCCCAGCAGUCCAUCCCACCAUCACUCCAGAGGAGAGAAAAUACAUCGAAGAUGCAAUCGGAGAAUCUGCAGCUUUUCUCAAUCCCCUUCAUAAAUUUAAAACGCCAUGGAGACAUUUCUUCACCUCCAUGCCAGUCUACGCCAUCAUUGUGGCCAAUUUCUGCAGGAGCUGGACCUUCUACCUGCUGCUCAUCAGCCAGCCUGCGUAUUUUGAAGAAGUUUUUGGCUUUGAGAUCAGCAAGGUGGGCAUUGUGUCAGCUUUGCCCCAUCUGGUGAUGACAAUCAUCGUGCCUAUCGGAGGCCAACUGGCCGACUACCUGAGGACUCACAACCUGAUGUCCACCACCAACGUCAGAAAACUCAUGAACUGUGGAGGUUUCGGGAUGGAGGCCACCCUCCUUCUGGUGGUUGGAUUUUCUCACACUAAAGUUAUUGCCAUUAGUUUCCUGGUCCUUGCUGUGGGGUUCAGCGGCUUUGCAAUCUCAGGGUUUAACGUUAAUCACUUGGAUAUUGCCCCUCGAUAUGCCAGCAUACUGAUGGGAAUUUCCAACGGAGUGGGAACGUUGUCAGGAAUGGUGUGUCCUCUCAUAGUGGGGGCCAUGACCAAACACAAGACGCGUGAGGAGUGGCAGUACGUCUUCCUCAUAGCGUCCGUCGUCCACUACGGAGGAGUGAUUUUCUACGGGAUCUUUGCAUCCGGGGAGAAGCAGUGGUGGGCCGACAUAGAGGACACGAGCGAGGAGAAAUGCGGAAUAAUCAACGAGGACGAACUGGCCAAUGAAACGGAGGAGCUCUACCGUGGAGGCGGCCAGUACGGGGCCAUGGGUCAGCCGGUGGUGGGUUCAAAUGGAGGAGGAGGCGGCAGCGGUGGAGGCGGCGGAGCGGGAUGGGUUACAGACUGGGAUAAGUCUGAGGAGUACGUGCAACCGCCGGGAUACAACUCUUACAUGCAUGGUGGAGGGAAGGAGAAGGAGCUGACAUAGAAGACCGAAGUGAUUUCAACAAAAACAUAAGUAAAUGAGGAGAUUGUUUGUGUAGAAGGAUUGUAAGGGAGCUGCUGAGGUACACUGAGGACAUUUAAGGACCUUUGCAGCUGCACAUGUCAAGUGUCUGGAUCCACUAUGUUGCAGGUGUGUGCGUGUGUGUGUGUGUGUGUGUGUGUGUGUGUGUGUGUGUGUGGGUGUGCAGCAGCCAGUGCAGUGGAUCUGCAGAAAAAUACAGUUUUCAUUUACAAAAUCUGGACUCUUCUCUCCCAGACUUUCUUCCUGAUCCUGACUUCAUGGUGAAGGUUGCAGCAGUUUUGUUUCCAAGCCGUUGCCAAGGAGUUUGUGUGUGAGAGAGAAAAAGCGGUGGUCUUCUGUUGGUUUUACAUUUUUAUUUGUAAGCAUUUUGUUUUUCAAUUUAUGGCAUAAAACAGUGUUUAAAUUACUAAAAAUGCAUUGUGAAAUGGUGCAGCUUCAUAGUUUCAGAAGAAAUAACAAAACAUGUCAGUGAAAAGGAGGGUCUUGGUAUUUUUGAUGGAAAAGGUGUGUGUUUGUGUGUGUGUGUGUG